GAUGAACGCUGGCGGCGUGCCUAAUACAUGCAAGUCGAGCGAACAGACGAGGAGCUUGCUCCUCUGACGUUAGCGGCGGACGGGUGAGUAACACGUGGAUAACCUACCUAUAAGACUGGGAUAACUUCGGGAAACCGGAGCUAAUACCGGAUAAUAUAUUGAACCGCAUGGUUCAAUAGUGUAAGACGGUUUUGCUUUCACUUAUAGAUGGAUCCGCGCCGCAUUAGCUAGUUGGUAAGGUAACGGCUUACCAAGGCAACGAUGCGUAGCCGACCUGAGAGGGUGAUCGGCCACACUGGAACUGAGACACGGUCCAGACUCCUACGGGAGGCAGCAGUAGGGAAUCUUCCGCAAUGGGCGAAAGCUUGACGGAGCAACGCCGCGUGAGUGAUGAAGGUCUUCGGAUCGUAAAACUCUGUUAUUAGGGAAGAACAAAUGUGUAAGUAACUAUGCACGUCUUGACGGUACCUAAUCAGAAAGCCACGGCUAACUACGUG
rnacentral:rRNA from 1 species